rnacentral:tRNA from 1 species
GGGGCUGUGGCUCAGUGGUACAGCACUCACCUAGCACAUGUGAGGUACUGGGUUCGAUCCCCAGCACUACUC